AUCGCUUCUUGGCCUUUUGGCUAAGAUUAAGUGUAGUUUCUGUUCCUAUCAGUUAAAUAUCUGAUAUAUCCCCUAUCUGAGGAUCAUAUAUUAAAUGGAUUCUUGAGAACGGGGGGCAAUUUCGAAGCUUGCUUCCUUCGCCCUAUGCAUUGAUCAGAUAAAGCAGUAUCUUUGGGUACAGUGCACCAAAA